CGAAGGUGGAUCCAUACAUUUUUGCACUUGCAAAAGAUUUUGCCAUACUUGAAAUGUUCUCUUGGAGCAUAUAUUUGUUUGAGACCACAUUAUCUUCACUAAGAAAGGGAUUACCAAAACAAACAAGCCACCACAGAUUGACAGAUUUUUUAGUGGAUUUCCAGGUGUGACUGUAUGAGUGCAUACUUGCACUUGAAGAGAAUGUGACCACAAGAAUUAGCAAGAAAUAUCUACGAAUUAUGAUUUGGACUGCACAUAAACAUCUUUAAGUGGAAAUGUUGGAGGACAAGGUGUUUGGAAGUAAGAAUGUAAGUUCUUAAACAUGUUUGAAUUGUUAUGUAAUCAUUUGGUUAGUUAUACAUAUUUAAAAUGAUAUAUGCUCAACUUUUUUCCAUCUUACGUCAAAUAGGUUGUGAUAAAUGAUAUUGAUCCAUCUGAAGUAGAGCUCACGAUGGGCAAUAUAUGAUAAGUUGUAAAUAAGAAUUUAAGAUAUAUUAUGAUAUGAAAUAUGAUUGUGACCUGAAGUAUAAAUAUUCUAUUUGCAAAGUCAAAUAUCUCUUAUGACUGACCUGAAAUACGUGACUUGUGACUUUCCUUAAUAUAUGUUGUGACCUGAUUUGUAUCAUUGUGCUAACUAAUUUCAUUGUUCUGUAUGUUGGAUAUGAUUAACAUACGUGCAAUUUUCGAAAACUAGACAACCAAAUCAAAACAUUAAGAUCUCUAAAACUCAAGCGGGCACAAGUGAGUCUACUUCCAUGCUAUCAAAGAUACAUGUUCAAGAUUCAGACGAUGAUUUUAUAGAUCCACCGUUGCAAAAAUAGACGGGGAUUGCUAGCUAUAGCUCUCCUGCUUAGCCUCAGGAUGUCUAUUAUCCUGAUUGCUAAUGUGUCGAAGUAAGUAAUUUCAUUUUAUACAGACUUAAGAAGCCAUUUUAUAUGCAAUUUUACUAACUACAAAAUUUUAUCAGGAAUGUGGUCGACUAAAGCAGCAAUUGAUGGAUGAGGAAAUAACUAAGCUUCAAGUGGAGAACAAAGGGUUAAAAGAGGAGCUUUUGUUGAUGAAGCCAGAACUGUCAGACACGAAUGAUAAAGUGUGUCAUUCAAACAGUUCUUUGAAGCUCAAUGAGGUCAUUUAAAGUCAGAAUGUGUUGAAAGAUUUGCUUGAGCGACAUCAAGUCGUCUCUUAAAUCUUUUGUUGAAUCUAUGUCUGACAUUUUUAUCUUUGGUGAUUGAUGAAGUUCAGACAAAGUUGAGUGGUAAAGAUGGUUCGACGGAACAAGAGAUAAAAGCUAAUAUUGUAGUUGAAAGAAAGGGCAAUGGUCACAUGGAACCUGAGUUAAAAGGUGAUGAUGUGGUUGAAAAAAAAAAAGAUAAAGGUCACAUGGCACCUGGGUUUUCACAUUACUUCCAUGAUGACUAUAUUCUCCAAUCUACUUCAUUUAAU
rnacentral:lncRNA from 1 species